rnacentral:rRNA from 1 species
AUUGAACGCUGGCGGCAUGCCUUACACAUGCAAGUCGAACGGCAGCACGGGUGCUUGCACCUGGUGGCGAGUGGUGAACGGGUGAGUAAUACAUCGGAACGUACCUUAUCGUGGGGGAUAACGCAGCGAAAGCUGUGCUAAUACCGCAUACGCCCUGAGCGGGAAAGCGGGGGAUCGAAAGACCUCGCGCGAUUAGAGCGGCCGAUGCCUGAGUACCUUGUUGGUGGGGUAAAAGCCCACCAAGGCGACGAUCAGUAGCUGGUCUGAGAGGAUGAUCAGCCACACUGGGACUGAGACACGGCCCAGACUCCUACGGGAGGCAGCAGAGGGGAAUUUUGGACAAUGGGGGCAACCCUGAUCCAGCAAUGCCGCGUGAGUGAAGAAGGCCUUCGGGUUGUAAAGCUCUUUUGUCAGGGAAGAAACACCGGCUCUAACACAGUCCGGGAAUGACGGUACCUGAAGAAUAAGCACCGGCUAACUACGUGCCAGCAGCCGCGGUAA